rnacentral:rRNA from 1 species
GGAUCUCUUUUUAGCAUAGAAAGGUUAUUAACCUAAGGAGUACGCUUUCAGAAGUGAAACUUAAAUGUUCUGGUGGUGGUUUAGAUCAAGAGUGGAAUAGAUUCUUUAAUUCGAUGUUCUGCGAUAAAGCUUAUCAGUAAGGUCAAUGAAUCUCAGGAGAUAGGUCUUGUCCCAUUCGUGGUAGUGCAUGGCUGUUUUUGGGGAAUGUUUUGUAAUUCUGGUUUAAUUCAAGAAUACCCGAUACGCUUUAACCUAGAUAGAAGAACGUCGAGUCAUUAUGCUCUUUUGUUCGGAGAUAUACAUUUGUUACAAGGAGAGCUACGAACGGCACUUGAGAGUGGAAUAUUAGCUUUAGCUGGUAAUGGUCUUGUCGAAGAGGAAUUAAUGGAUAUGGAAUAUCAACUUGCUUAUAUCUAUAGGCAUCUAUAUAUUGAAGAACAUUGAGUACCAGAUCAUUUAGCAUACGGCAUUGAUAAUUGAAAGGUUUUUAUAAAGGAGGAAUUCUUAGUAAGCUUUGGUUAGCGAUUUAAAGUUGAAUAGGAGACUAAAAUUGUGUACAUACCGCCCGUCAAGCAAAAAGAAGAGAUGGAGUGUUGUAGCAGAUGAGUGACGAUAGUGAUUGGUUGGGACCAGUGUUAUGUAGAUAUCGAAGAGUAAGGUACGUAAGAGAAUACUUUAGCUUGUGUUGUAAUGAAUCUAUAGGCAUCUAUAUGUAUGGUAAUGUUUAUCGUAGAGUAAUGGCUCCAUUUAUACCUGCAACCCUAGUAAGGUACUUACUUAUAUAGCACAAAGCUUUAGCUUGGUUGUAGUGUAACGUAUCUUUAAUGGAUGGAUAUCCAUAUUGAAGUCUUAGCAUUAGGUCUAUGUUUAUGGUACAGUGCUAAUGAAACUUCAUGUUAAGUUGCAUCUCUUUAGUGGUAUCAGAGACUAAUAGCUUGGUAAUGAAAUGAAAGAACCUGUCGAAUGUAGUGUAGUGAUUAGCUUGUAUGUGGUGUAAGCAUGCUAAUUAAUGUUAAGUCGAAAC